UUUUUUUUUUUUGGUUCAUUUAAUAGUACUGUUGACCAAUAUUAUUUAUGACGUCAGAGCACUCCUCUGUAAUAAAAUAUUAACAACAAAGUUUGUUAUGCUUGAGAACUCAACUUCUUAAAUAAAUGUUGUUGUUACUUCAACUAAAUCGACUAAAAGUCCACUAAAAGUCGACUAGUGUAAAGUCAAAACUAGUCAAAUUUGAAAGAUAGAACAAUUGAUUUAAUUGACUAUGGAUUUCCGACUAAUCAAAUAAACAUCAAUUCAGUCAAGUACUCCAAAAGGACUGUGGAAUAACAUUUUACAAAGUAGCUUUUUACCACCUUCCUCACAAAUGUCGAUGGCCAGAACAUGUACCAGACUUUGGAAGAUUUGAUCUGUCAGCGCUUUAAUCACUCCGCCUCAUCUGAUGUUUUGGUGCUUCACUAUAUAAAAUGCGUUUUAUCAACUAAGCAUCAGAUAACCGGUAUUGAGUCUCGGUUAUCGUUUGAUAUAGAUACUAUACCUUACAGUAUUGAUAUCGUGCGAUACUGGUAUCGAAGGUAUUGGUUAUAUUUAAGGCUAUCGCCGGGCACCCGCCCGUUGUUCAUUGCCCAGGUAGUAUUAUCAAAUGAUGGUUAUCCAUUUCUUCAAAAUGAAAGAAGUAAAAAAUUAUUUCUUUCAUUUUGAAAAAAGUUUAAAAAAAAAAAAAAAUUUUUAAAGUUAAAAUUCAUUAAUUGUAAUUUAACAUUGUUAACUUGGUAUGUAAAAAAAAGAUUGUGGAGAUAUUGUUAAAACUUUUA